CCUACGGGAGGCAGCAGUGGGGAAUAUUGCACAAUGGAGGGAACUCUGAUGCAGCGACGCCGCGUGAGUGAAGAAGUAAUUCGGUAUGUAAAGCUCUAUCAGCAGGGAAGAAGGUGACGGUACCUGAAAAAGAAGCUCCGGCUAAAUACGUGCCAGCAGCCGCGGUAAUACGUAGGGAGCAAGCGUUAUCCGGAUUUACUGGGUGUAAAGGGAGAGUAGGUGGCAGAGCAAGUCCGAAGUGAAAACCCAAGGCUCAACUAUGGGAAUGCUUUAGAAACUGGUCAGCUAGAGUGCAGGAGAGGCGAGUGGAAUUCUUGGUGUAGCGGUGAAACGCGUAGAUAUUAGGAGGAACACUGGUGGCGAAGGCGGCCUCCUGGACUGUAACUGACACUGAGGCUCGAAAGCGUGGGGAGCAAACAGGAUUAGAUACCCUUGUAGUC
rnacentral:rRNA from 1 species